AUAGAAGGGAAGCAUCGUUUUCUGCAGUGUUGCUUAUACUCAAUCAAAUACCGCGAGGUGUUGAUUUCAUGUGUGUUACAAGGUGAACGUCUGAUGCGAACUGCUGGCGAGGUGGUGGGUCGCUGGCAAUGGCGGUGGUGGUGGAGAUACUGGUGAUGGUGAUAUUUCAGAGCUCUCAGACUCUUUCUCUUCUCCAAUCGCCACCCAGCAUUCUCACACACAUCUGACUUUGGCCUUAUCGUGCAUCUUAGCUUCCCUCCCCUUGAUUUUCUCAGAGUAGUAUUCUUCACACUCCUCUCUUAUUCAUACUGCGGAUGAAAACUACGCCACCAUUGUUAACUAGUGCCAAUUAUCACCUUGUUACUGAUCUUGUCUUCCCACCCUUACAUUAUUCUCAAGUAGGAGCGCAAGCCAAGCCAUUAUUAGGGUUCGUGUUGCCUUUUAUGAAAUUAUACUCCUGGCUUUCUUUGCUUUUGCAUUACUUGCUUGCCUUUAACUGUUGUGCUUGGCUGAUUUUUUAGACUGGGAACAAGGGGAUUCUCUCUCUCUCUCUCUCUCUCUCUCUCUCUCUCUCUCUCUCUCUCUCUCUCUCUCACACACACACACAUCAGUUAACUUCUCCAGUUUACCUCCCUUACCUCUGCCUCGUUACUUCACUCACUCUCACCUCACACUCACCUCCGCCACUUUCCCUCCUUGCCCUCCACCCGCCAUCCAUCACUAUAAAUCUAUUCACAGUAUUAUUUCACUUCAUUCUUCUUAUCUUCUUUCGUCUUUUCUCGCCUCUCUUCCAUCCGACAUCCUUACUUGUUUUUGUUUUUAUUCCUGCCCGCUGUGUACAAAUGCCACGCUCCUUUCUUGCAGUCAACUAACAAAGCAAAAACAUCUACUUCCUUUACAAGCUUAUCUUCCAGUAACUUUAUCUACAUCUAGUUACUACUACCCCCAUUCAUUUGCUAUGCUGCCCCAACAUACAACCCUCAUUCAUUCCAUUUACUGUCCCCCACAAGUCAUUACUUUUCAUACAUCAGAACUAGAACCCUCACUGACCUCCUAAAAGACUAUUGUCAUAUACCAAAACUACAUACAAACCUCAAUCAUUCCUUGUACUGCCCGCUUUAAGCCAUUAUUUUCCAUAUACCGGAACUACAACUCGCCUUCUUUCCUUGCACAGCCCCGAUACAAAACUGUUCCCAUGCAGCAGAACUACAGCCCUUAUUCAUUCCCUGCACUGCCUCCCUACCAGACUAUUUCCAUACACCUCUCCAUACUCAUUCUCAUCGGUCACCGCCCCCCCAACCAUCAGCCACCCGCUUCUCUUUCCCCUCACCCUUUCCAGUACCUCUUAUCAGCAUCCACUUAGCACUACCACCCUCAUUCAUUCCCUUUACUGCUCCCUAGAAUAUUUCCAUACACUUCUCCAUACUCAUCCGCAUCGGUCACCGCCCCCACGUCACCCAUCACCCACCCAUCGCCCUCCGCCACCCUCCGCACCUGACCCCCAGCCAACCUCUCUCAGCGCUACGAAGGAAAGGGAGAAGCGUGAGGCAGCAGUCACGUUCGCGUCCGGGCAAAGCGAAAAUAGUGGUGCUUGUCCUCGUCCCCAACCUUACAUGGAGAGACGAUAUUGCCGCGUGACAACCUGACAUUAUCCGUCGAAACCUCAUCCAGAAACGCUGUCGGAAGCUGACUUGCACUUUCACACUACCCGCUCAUCACAAUG